rnacentral:rRNA from 1 species
GGACGAACGCUGGCGGCGUGCUUAACACAUGCAAGUCGAGCGGUAAGGCCCUUUCGGGGGGUACACGAGCGGCGAACGGGUGAGUAACACGUGGGUGACCUGCCCUCAGCUCUGGGGAUAAGCCUGGGAAACCGGGUCUAAUACUGGAUAUGACUCCAUGACGCAUGUUGUGGGGUGGAAAGCCUUGUGCGGCUGAGGAUGGGCCCGCGGCCUAUCAG